CCUCAGAAUGCUUGCACACGCGACACGCACUCGCGAUCAGUGGCUGGCCGACCAUCUGUCCCGAAACACGCGGGUCCUCGCGUCUCGUGGAAAGAUCGACACUGCCCUCUCUUUUCGCUGGAUAUUCGUGUACGUUCGUGUAAGUUCGGAAACUAUUCGCGUUAUAUUCGGUCUCUUCGGUACAGUUUAUCUUUCUUUUGCACGUUUUUUCGCUAGUAGAAUAGAUCUGAAACCGCGAUGGAAACAAUCUAUAUCUUUUCGCCGUACAAUUGUGAAGAUUUGUAUACUUUUAUACACGACACGUUAAGUCGAUACGAUAGUGUUAUUGGUUUUAUUGUUAUUGGCUAGGUGAUUUCAAUAUGGUUUAUGAGUGUUUCCUAUUUAUUUGUUUGUAAAUGGGCAUCGAUAUCACCUUCAACUACUCUCGUGAAUAUAAUUCGUGCGAGUUCGUACGCGUUGGAUCGAUGUAUCUAAUAUGAAUUUUCGAUAUAGUUUAUCGAUGCUUUUUUUCAUUUGUUUGCAUAUAUUAUGAAUGGUGAAUGGUGGAUUUAUUUAUUCAGAGAGUAGCGAAAUGCAAUGAGGUGAAUUUCUAUUUAUAGAGCUGUGCGUGAGGCUGAAAGGUUUCUCUUGGUCGAAAGAGCUGGGCAUUUAACGCAAGUCGCACAAUAAGAGUAGGUAGAUGGAUCAAUAAAUUGAUGGUUGUCCAUGGUCAGGUACUUUGUGCGAAAAAAAAUAUCCCUAAAAAUAGCAAUUAUUUUAAACAAUUUAUUAUUUAAAUAUACGAAAUAUAUGAUUGACAUAAAAUAGUGGAUUUCUUAUUUGCAACAAUUAGUGAUUCUAAGAGUGUUGUUUACAAUGUAAAUUAUUUUCUUGUUGCAAUUAAAAAUUUAAAAUUAUUUGCAAAAAUUAUCGCAUUACGAUUUCUAAAAAUUUAGAAUCAUAAUUUAGUGUUUCUUUCUAACUUUAAAAAUAUUUUCAAAUAAUUCUUACUUAUCAAGAAAUUAAAACAACUUUUUUAUCUUUUUCCUUCGUUUCAACCAUUAUAGCAAAUUUAUUAAAGAACGAAUUAUUCUCCUUUUAAUUCUUCUUUUAUCCUGUGUAAAGUUUAUAUUCCAUUAUGGGCAAAAAAGAAUAAAUUACAAAUGUUUACGUAGCACUCAGUGAUCAUUAAGUAAUGCUUUCGUUCUUCUUUUAAAUCAAAGAAAGAUAUAUCAUACACUGUUCAUAAGAAUAAAGAAAUGAACAUAUCGUGUUUGAACAGUUUAUACGAUUAAAACGAUUUUAUGUAAAGUGUAUUUGGAUUAACUACCAAUAUGUGUUCGUAUCCAAUUUCAAAUAGAAAUAAUAUGUUAGCUUGCAGAGACAUAAACAAGAUGAUAUCAUCGAAAGAAAAAAAUUCAUUGUUCAAUGAAAUUUAAUUUUUCGAUUAAUACGUACAAUAUAAACUUUUGUAUUUUAUAAAUUGUCUUGUAUCGAAUAAAUUGUAUCAAUAAUAUAAAUUGUAUAUAUAAAAAAAUCAUUAUAAGUGUUAAGAAAGAAACAUUAAACUAUAAUGAUUCUAAAUCUUAUUUUUCUUAUCUUUCUUUUAAUUUUAUUCAAUUUUGUGGAUAUUCAAAUUUAAUAAUUAUUUAAAAAAAUUUCUUCUCCGCCAUCUUUUUCUCUUAUCUACGGGUGAUCUCGAGGUAAUAUUGUUAAUAACUAAUAUGAUACUCGAACGCCAUCUUCGUCGAAGAUCGCAACUUCGAUAAAAAAGAGAGUUUAAGAGAUAUUUUUCUAUAUGCGAAACCGGUUGUGGAACCUCAAAGGGAAUCGACUUGUUUUAUUUUUCGUUCAUUAGCACGCGAUACUUAAACCAUAAGGUUUCCUGAGCAUAAAGCGGCACAGUCGAUCCUAACUCAGACUAGUUACUCGUAGUUAAUGAUUCGCAACGUAAAAUUAAGUGGUUGCAACAAUGUUGCGGAUCGAAUUGUUUUUCUUUUUUUUUUUCUCCGACUGGUCGUAAUUCCCAUGAUUCCACGAGAAUGAAACGUAUAUUUAACUACGUCGUUGCAUACUUUUGCGACUAAACUCGACUUUUUACAAGUGUACGACAUUUAAUUCGAACGAUAUCGCAUUUCGUCGUCAUUUUUCAAGUUUUUUAUUUCCUUUUUUCCCUUUUCGUAUUUGCUACGAGAUCCAUCCUUUCACUUGAAACUAUUACCAACGUACGUUGUUUAUUAUAUACGUUGUUUUAUUAAUUUGCAAGGAAAUUCAUCGAUUUUUAAUUAGUCGAGAAAGUUUCUUACUCUUACGAGAUCCUAUUUUAUUCAAUUUAUGAUAAUUUUAAGAUUUUAUUCUUGAAAAAUAUAACAUUUUGUUUUAUUUCCAUGCUCUAAAGAAACCAAUUUCAAUCAAUUUACAUUUAUUUUUUAAAAAAUUUUCACGAAAAAGCACGAAAAAUUCCUUCAUUUCCUACAAAAAGAUUCACCAAACUUCACUCUUCGCAAUCGAUAAUUUCACGACCAGGUGGUGCACAUGGAAAUUCCACGGCCGUUCAUUAACUUCGCAACAAUUUGAAAAAUUCCUCUCAAUAUCGCCGCGAUUCCAUACGCACCACGACAUCUUUGCAUAUUGGCCGCAUCGUCAAGCUUAGAUUAGCCUCGAAAUAUUGGAUUAUAGUAUGUGCUAGUAUACACAGUCGAUGACUGUACCGGCUGGAAGUGUGGUUUAAUUUAAUAUAGGGGCGAGGAAGUCUUUCGCGGAAUCAGGAUAUACCAGUGUCGUGCCAGUCUUUCGAUUGCGAGGAGAUCGGCUGUUUCGUCUCUGUGAAUUGGACAUGUUGCGAGCAUUCGCGUUCUUCGAAAACGUGUUUCACGCUCGCUCACACGAUAGUGGCGAUAGUUUUCCAAUCCGUUUUUCUUAUUGCUUCGUUAUUACUUUCAUCGUGAUUUGUCCAUAGAAAAAAAUAUACACGAAUAAUUUUUUAAAAGGAAAUUUUUCAAUUGUGAAAAUUGAGUUGAAAUAUUCGUCGAAAAUUGUGCGAUAUUAAUUUUAUAAAUCAAUUCUGAAUAAAAUAUUUGUCGAUUCAACGUUGUGUAUUGAAGAUAGUUUGUUUAAGUGGUUAAGCGAUUUGAAUUUUCAAUGAGUAUAGUGUAGUCAGUAUUGACUUUAUAAAUAUUGAAUUGUUUUAAAUGUUAGAUUAAGUUCGAUGGUUCUUUGAGAUUAGCAAUUGUUCUUGUUAAUUUUGAUUGUUACGGUAAAAAAUCGGUUGGAAGAUAGAUUUGUUGGUGGAAAGCUUGAAGGAACAUUUUAAUAGUCAUGUCGACGUGCUCACUGAUGCCGGUGUCACUUCAGGACAUUUUGACAUACUUACGUUGUCCAUGCAAUUAUAUUUCGAACGGAAGUAACCGGUUAAGACAACGUCGAUGGAACUGGCCCCUAAAAGUCGUUCAACAUCUAUAGAAAGUUAUAAGCUACUUAUCGUCACCUCUCAGGUGAAUUACCUGAAAGCACGCGCAUAUAGGCCCAAGACAGUGUGGCAUAUUUCACGUGAAGAUUACACUGGGCUUGCAACAUUGAGUGCUCGUUGAGCGUAGGAUGAAAACAGGCCGCUUGCUUAAGGAGAAUGUCUCUACCAUUAACACCACCUGACAUCCGCGGCCUUGCUGUCUCUGACAUUAUCAACUUCGUUCGAUCCCAGUCAUUAACGUCAUAUACCGAUUACUUCAAUGAUGACGAACACAGUUCAUGAGAAUUGCGAGGAGAAUGAAAAAAUAGUGAGAAUCUUGAAUAAGUUAAUCGUAUACAGAAGGAUAUAAAUGGAAUAUCGAGAUUUUAAUGAUAAUUUUGGAAGGAUUGAAGAAUUGAGAAAUGGUUUGAUUGGUGAUAUUUCAAUGUUUUAGUAAUCUAUGAAUAUGGUAAUUCUGAAAUUUGGAAUGAAUUUUUAAAUGUGAAUAAAAAUGAAUAAUGUUUUGUAAUUGAAAUGAUAUGUUGAUUAUUUUGGAAACUUUUGGUGUUAAAUAUCAAUUGUUUCGUUUAUAAUAAAUCAUUGAUUCAAA